AUGAACGCUGGCGGCGUGCCUCAUACCUGCAAGUCGCGCGAACAGACGAGGAGCUUGCUCCUCUGACGUUAGCGGCGGACGGGUGAGUAACACGUGGAUAACCUACCUAUAAGACUGGGAUAACUUCGGGAAACCGGAGCUAAUACCGGAUAAUAUAUUGAACCGCAUGGUUCAAUAGUGAAAGACGGUUUUGCUGUCACUUAUAGAUGGAUCCGCGCCGCAUUAGCUAGUUGGUAAGGUAACGGCUUACCAAGGCAACGAUGCGUAGCCGACCUGAGAGGGUGAUCGGCCACACUGGAACUGAGACACGGUCCAGACUCCUACGGGAGGCAGCAGUAGGGAAUCUUCCGCAAUGGGCGAAAGCCUGACGGAGCAACGCCGCGUGAGUGAUGAAGGUCUUCGGAUCGUAAAACUCUGUUAUUAGGGAAGAACAAAUGUGUAAGUAACUAUGCACGUCUUGGCGGUACCUAAUCAGAAAGCCACGGCUAACUACGU
rnacentral:rRNA from 1 species